rnacentral:rRNA from 1 species
UACGUAGGGGGCAAGCGUUGUCCGGAUUUAUUGGGCGUAAAGGGCGCGUAGGCGGGAUGGCAAGUCGGUCGUGAAAUCCUUCGGCUCAACCGAAGAACGUCGGCCGAUACUGCCGUUCUUGAGGGAUGCAGAGGAGAUUGGAAUUCCCGGUGUAGCGGUGAAAUGUGUAGAGAUCGGGAGGAACACCGGUGGCGAAGGCGGGUCUCUGGGCAUCUCCUGACGCUGAGGCGCGAAAGCGUGGGGAGCGAACAGG